rnacentral:ncRNA from 1 species
GAUCAAGCUACGAAGAGCGUAUGGAGGAUGCCUUGGCACUAAGCGCCGAAGAAGGACGUGACUAACUGCGAUAAGCUGCGGGGAACUGUAAAUAAGUGUUGAUCCGCAGAUUUCCGAAUGAGGAAACUCACUGCAUUGAAGAUGCAGUAUCUUUACACAAAUCAAAUAGUGUACUGAGGGGAACCCGGUGAACUGAAACAUCUCAUUAACCGGAGGAAAAGAAAGUAAAUUAACGAUUCCGAGAGUAGUGGCGAGCGAAAUUGGAAGAGCCCAAACUUUUAGUAGUGAUAUUAAAAGGGUUACGGACCCACAAAUCAUUAGAUGUUGGUAGUCGAACAGGCUGGAAAGCCUGGCCAAAGAGAGUGAUAGCCUCGUAGGCGGCAUCGACAUUUAAGUGGUGGGUAUCCAGAGUACCACAGGACACGUGGAAUCCGGUGGGAAUAUGCGAGGACCAUCUCGUAAGGCUAAAUACGACUUGGUGACCGAUAGAGUAUAGUACCGUGAGGGAAAGGUGAAAAGAACCCCGGGAGGGGAGUGAAAAAGAACCUGAAACCCUGUGUUUACAAGCAGUGAAAGUGCGAGCAAGGCACGAUCACGUACUUUUUGUAGAACGGACCGGCGAGUUACGAUGUGUUGCGAGGUAAAGGCAUUAAGUGCCGAAGCCGAAGCGAAAGCGAGUCUGAUAAGGGCGAUUGAGUAGCAUGUCGUAGACCCGAAACCGAGUGACCUAACCAUGGGCAGGGUGAAGCCGCGGUAAAACGCUGUGGAGGACCGAACUCACGCCUGUUGAAAUAGUCGGACCCGGGAGGGGAGUGAAAGAGAACCUGAAACCCUAUGUUUACAAGCAGAUAGAGCGAUUUAAGGCGCGAUAUCGUACUUUUUGUAGAAGAAGCGCAGGUAAAAAUGCGUGGAGGACCGAACCGGUGAGCGUUGAAAAGCUUUCGGAUGAGAUGUGGGUAGGGGUGAAAUGGCAGGGUGAAGCCGCGGUAAAACGCUGUGGAGGCCCGAACACACGCCUGUUGAAAUAGUCGGUGAUGACCUGUGGUUAGCGGAGAAAUUCUAAUCGAACUCGGAUAUAGCUGGUUCUCCUCGAAAUAGCUUUAGGGCUAGCGUCUAAAUAGAGUAUUGAAGGUAGAGCACUGAAUAGGCUAGGGGACUUCACGGUUUACUGAACCUUAUCAAACUUCGAAUGUCAAUUACUUGUUUUUAGGCAGUCAGACAGUGGGAGCUAAGUUUCAUUGUCAAAAGGGAAACAGCCCAGACCUACAGCUAAGGUCC